rnacentral:tRNA from 1 species
GGGGAUAUAGCUCAGUUGGUAGAGAUCCGCUCUUGAAAGGCGGAUGUCAGCAGUUCGAGCCCACUUAUCUCCA